rnacentral:lncRNA from 1 species
GCUCUUCCAACUGCUGUUUCUUCACCUGCGGAGCCUCAGUUUCCCCAUCUGUCAUUGGGGAUACCAGCCCCUGCUUCACGGGUGCCUAGGGGAUUCCCAGAUUAUGGAGGUGCCUCAAGGUGCCUGGUGGGGCUGAGGGUGGAGGGUAUGGGGGUUCAGGGCCGGGUCCCUGGCUGAGCUGACCCCACAGGUUUCAGCGGGUGGGCCCACCUGACGGAGGUCGACCCCGAUGAGGAGGUGCAGGGCGAGAUCCACCUGCGGCUGGAAGUGUGGCCAGGGGCCCGGGCCUGCCGGCUACGCUGCUCUGUGCUGGAGGCCAGGGAUCUGGCCCCAAAGGACCGCAAUGGCACAUCUGACCCCUUCGUCCGAGUGCGCUACAAGGGCCGGACACGGGAGACCUCGAUCGUGAAGAAGUCAUGCUACCCACGCUGGAAUGAGACGUUUGAAUUUGAGCUGCAGGAGGGGGCCAUGGAGGCGCUGUGCGUGGAGGCCUGGGACUGGGACCUUGUCAGCCGAAACGACUUCCUGGGCAAAGUGGUGAUUGAUGUCCAGAGACUGCGGGUGGUGCAGCAGGAGGAGGGCUGGUUCCGGCUGCAGCCCGACCAGUCCAAGAGCCGGCGGCAUGACGA